rnacentral:lncRNA from 1 species
CACUAUGUGAAAUAGGGGAUAGUGUUGCUGGAAAAUAGUGAAAGUCGCAUAGGGUUGAAAUAAGUCAAUUUUUUAUGAAAAAGGGCAAGCUGCAUACAGAUAAGAAAAAGAAUGGAGGCAAAGCAUAUCUUCUACACUGGAAGGUUUAAUUAUUACUGUUAAUAUAAGAGUAAUGCUCACCUAAUCUUCGGUUUUCUAUAGUAAAAGUAGGCCAUGUUUGGCCCAUAUGCAGAUUCUUCGGUUUUGUUUCUAAAAAAGACCCUAAAAUUCUCUUUUUCCAUUAUUACUGCUACAUCAGCUAGCAAAAACUGGAAUAGCGGGGCGGCUAUUGCGCUAAUAGUGUUGUGGUUUCCAUAGAGGAAUCACCAAAAUCCACUAUGUUACAGAGCUGCUAUUGCGGCGGCUAUUUGAUGACGCUGGAGCAGAAUAUGUUUAGUUUAGAAUUUGGUACCUGGAUCCAAGAUAAGCACAUAUUUCUGACCAUUUUUGUGAAGAGUAUCAACAAAAUUUCUCAUCUUAUCUUUCGGAAAAUUAACAGGAUCUAGAGUGAAAUCUUUAUAUGCAUCCAUGUAAUCAAUAUCUGUCCACAUAACUUCGAGGGGUAUACCAGCUUUUGCAUAGUUGGUUACUACACCCUGAACAUCAUUUACAUUCUUGUAUCCCCAUCGACAUUGAUGAAAACCUUCACAAAGAGUUAACAAUGAUGUGGAUUAGCAUAGCAAAUUGAUAUAAUUAAUCACCGUGAAUAUAAUACAAUAGAAAGACAAUUGCAAUAAACUGGUGUUAGAUUUUAAUGCCUGGAGCCCUGAACUAAUGCAUAGAAAUUUCAUAAAGUACAAUUCAAUGACUAUAGACCUUUAUAUGGUUUAAUUUUUUAUCAUCUAUGUCUAGGCCAUUCCUAACUUAAUAGGGGCUUGUCCUCCACACUUUAGUUUUCAACACCUAUAAACACAUUCUUUCAAGUUUCAUAGCAUUGGCUUUAUAUUUUGUAACUGUGGUUUGCAACAACGGUUACGGCCACAACGUAAGGGAUUCUAAAACUUCUACAACUGCAAUUCAAAAUACUAGAAGAAAAAAAAUUCAGUAGAACACCUUGAUAGAAGGUCGACUCUAGACCAGAACCUGAAAAUUUAUUCAAAACACCAAUGACAUUUGACAGGACUCAUCAUCCCCACGACUGAGUGGUUGACCUUAUCGGUGUUAGUUAGACAGAAAUACGAGUUGAGUUUUGAGCCACACAUAUCAAUUAUAUCUUGUUUGUUCCAAAUUGUAACCAAUCAGGUCACUAUCUCAGACGUUACAACAAGGAGGAAUAUGAAAUUCUACUCCCGAAAACCAAUAUCAGUCAUUGCUGAAGUUUCAAACGAUUUUUGAGUACUGAUCCACGAGUCGUGGAUCAGUACUUGAAAUUGUACACGACUGACCACGACUGGCCGCCUAUUAAAAUUGUACACCUUAUAACUUGCUAUAAACACUUGAGUAGUUGAGUUUCAACAAGUAAAACAACUAGAACUACAAGGACAAAAAGGAUUGAAAAAUUCAACAAUCCAUGCUGGACUUACCAAAAGACCAAUAAGGCAUAGGAGCAGGCCUACCAAUGAACUGAGUAUACUGAUCCAAAACCAAUUCAGGAGAUGAACCAGCAAAAAAAUACAAAUCAAAAACACCACCAAUCACCUUAUAAGUAAGACGAUCACCGCUAUAAACAACAUCCAUUCCAUUACUAUUAAGAAGUAAAACNUGUGGGAGACAAUUGAAAAUAAUCAUCAAUUUAUGUUUUGUAUACAAGAUUGGUUGAUCUAGGAGAAAACAAUGAAUGAUGGAGACAAGCCAUGUUGACUUAAAAGAUAAGAUGACAUUGUUACUAACAUUUUCCACUAAGAAGUAACAAUAGUUUUUUUUUUCUUCUUUUUUUAUUGCAAAUGUUACUAAAUUCUCCUUUGUGAGAAGAUUUUUAACUGUAGUAUUUUAACCCUACUUGAAAGGAGGUGACCUUAACUCUUUGUACUAACAAUUUUUUUGAGAGGACCACCACUUGAAAGGAUAUGAUCCAUCUUUAAACUAACCCUACUUGAAAGGAGGUGACCUUAACUCUUUCUACUAACAAUAGUUAAUAUGAUGGCGACUAUGUAAAUUGACUACUAGACAAAGAUGGGCAAUCACCAUUUUUCUUGUUCUUUUUGUUAUUAAAAAACAUAAUUAAUGAUAGCAGAUUUUUAUAUUAUAAAUUUCUAUUAAUAUGAUCGCAAAGGUUGAUCGAACUGAAAAAACCACUAGUCCAGCUCAAUGAUGGAGAGUGUUACCUGCAAACACUUGGCGCUCACAUCGCCAAGAGAAACCAUUGAGUAGUGUGUGUGUGUGUUCUCCUCGUGUGUCCCUCUCAUGUCAACGUGGCUCAUUCUUUGUUUCCUCCUACAUGAACUAACCUCUAUAAAUUUGUAGUUAUAGUCAUAGUUUUAAGAACCGGCCGGUUCAACCGUGAACCAUACCCAUUACCGGUUUGAGCCAGCUAUUGGAUCGGCCAUGUUAUUGACUCGGCUGCCACGUCAUAAACAAAGCUUAUAGCAUAAAAAAUUACAUACAAUACAAGUGUUUAUAUGUAAGCUAUUUCUAUAGGUUUAUGAGGCGUUAGCUCGAUGAUAAUAAUCUGACCUGCAAUUGCAAGAGACGGAGUUCAAAUUCAUGAGACAAUUGUAAAAUGGACAUUAACGCCACCAUAAUUUUAAUAAUAUUUCUCCUUCCCCAUUUUUUUUUAAAAUUGUUCCUUUUAAUAAACAACUAUUUCGAUAGCGAAAUAUAAAAUGAGGUCUGACUGUUUUCACAAGAUUAGCAUAGAGAGCUUGUGCAAAUAAUCCAAAAACAAUUUAUGAAUAUGUCAUAAACUGUUUUCAUAAGCUCUCGUAAACAAUCUCAAAUGUUUGUCGCGCAAUAAGCUCAAAUGGGACAAUUCAACCAGAUGUUGAUGAAUGUAUGGAAAAGGAAAGAAACACUUGAGAUAAUAUAAAUCAACUAAAUCUUGAGAUAAUAUAUAGAUUUGAUAGACAAAUAUAACUAUACUAGAUGAUACUUAUUUCUGAUCCCUUGUAGCAACCUUAACUAAGGUAAAACAAGGGACUCUUCAAAGAAGUAAAACUACUAAGAAAACACAUAUUAUUUUUGGAAAUUGCAUUCUCAAAUUUCCUUCUACCUUAUUUUAGUCUUCAGUUCAAACUGCUCUCCAAUAAGCUGUUUCAAAUUUGAAACUUCCACAGUAACAAACUUAGAAGACCUAUCAAAUUUUGUGAUCAAAACUCUUUUCCUCGUUGAAUUCAUUCCACUCACAACAUUUAACUCACUCUCAGCCAAAUCAUUUCCAUUUAACCUACCAUAAUUAGGUAUCCCCAAGAAUGUAACCUUUUCUAUGGUCCAUUUUUGGUCCAAAGCAAAUUUUCCAUUAGUAACAUUAGAAGUAACAGAAACACUGUCAUUAUUAUACAGUGCACCAUAAAAUCUCACAAGUGUCCAUUGAUCUUUCUCUCCUUCUAGAUCAAGAGCCUCACCAUCAUCCAAAUAAACUUGUCCAUAACUAUUUCCAUUUCCACUAAAAACAACCAAUAGUUCGAAUGCGGUGUUUCGAGCUGCUUUCGUUGUCAUUGCUUCACCUUGUAAGGCCAAAAUGUUACCUUCACCAACAUGCACAUUUAUGUGAUCAGAUGGUGCAUCAAGUGUGACAUAUUUGCCUGAUUCUGCACUCACUGAAUUUGAAGGAUUAAAGAGAUCAAACCAAUUUCCUUUAGGAAAGUAUGCAUCAACAGUAACUGCACCAGAUUGUAGCACAGGUGAGACUAGAACACCAUUGCCUAAUAGAAACUGCGAGUUUAUUUCGUAUGUUGUGAUAUCCUCGGGGAAUGAAAAGAAAAGUGGCCGCGCAAUUGGUGUCCCUUUUGUGUUUGAUUCGUACAUUAGUGUGUAGAAAUAUGGAAGAAGGCGGUAACGAAGGGCGAGCACUUUUCGAGCUGAUGCUGCAACUGAAUCCCAAAGGUAAAGCUCUUGCCUGAUGGAACUUUUAUCUGAAUGAUCUCUUGCAAAGGGGUAGAAGGCCCCUAACUACAUUCAAGAAAAUAAAAAAGUAUUAGAUAUGCAUGCAAUGAUGGAAAUAUUUUCCAUCAGGGUUUUAAAAACUUAGGUACUGUUCUAUAGAAACUGUUCCUACUGUUCUCAACUUACAGAUAGUGUAACUGUCACCAACAAUUUUGAAUGGAUGUGAAAAACUGUCCUUUUUGUUAGAAAAAGUAAGAGUACAGCACACAUUGAAUCUAAGUUUAGUCCUUUAAAGAAAGGCCUACCGCGCGAUGUGGAAAGUGACAUUAAGAUUUUUUAUGUUUAUACGACUGCAAUUGCGGCUUUAUCACCACGAUUCUCUGAAAUAUAAGAAUCGCAGCGUGUCUGCAAUUUAAAACCUUUCUUUACCUGUAGCCAAAAAUCACAGCUCUAUCCAUGUGUAACUUUUAUAAAUUUAGUCUAGUGAAAAAGUUGUGGAUGCUAUCCGAUUUUGAGGAUCAAUGUUUGUUACCUGAAUCCAGCGCCGACAAAGUUCUUCAGUAGUGUCUGCUGAGAAGCCGCAUAUAUCCGCUCCAACCAUAGGAACUCCAAAGAUUCCAAAGUUUAAUAUUGAUGGGAUUGAGUAUGCUAAAUCAUUCCAUGUAGCAGCAUUAUCUCCUGUCCAAUGAGCUGUAUACUUGCCAGAGCUAACAAAAGUUGAUCUACUCAAAAUGAAUGGUCUUUUACUAGUUAUUUCCACUAAGGCCCUGUUGGUUGUUUUGGAUUCUAAGAGACCAUACAAAUUGUGAGAAUCAUACUCAGUGAUAUUACCAUAAUGUAAAGAAGUUGCUGGCACCGUUUUAUUGUUGAUUGGUCGUUGAACGCCAGUACUGUUAAUUUUGUAAGGAGGGCUGUCAAGAUUAGAAUGAGGAGUGUCAUUCGAAGUUAUGAAAUUUGAUAACUCAUUCAUGUCAAGCCAAAUACCAUCAAAAGGGAGAAGUUCCCUAAAUAAUUUGAUUUCUUCACCCCAAAAUUCUUGGCUAUGAGGGUUAAGAAAAUCAGGAUAGUAAACUGGUCCUGGCCAAACUUCACCUAGAUAAUUGACUCCAUUUCUCUUUAGAUAGACAUCAGCUUGUAAGCCUCUAACAUAGGUUGCAUAUGUGUUAUUUACACUGAUACCUGUGUACAAAAAAGCAAUGACAUGUGCAUAUAUAUAUAUAUUUUUUUGAAUGGCAAAUAUAUAAUAUAGAAAAAGAACACACUGUACAAGAUACACCAACAGGACCAUCAAAAGAUGGUCCAAAGAGACCCCAGAAAACCCCCGACACAAAUGGAGAGCCGGGAAGAGAUCCGAAUGGAAGCACCAAAUAAACACCAAAAGCAAACAAAAAGAAAACUACACCAAAUAAAAGGAAAACAGAACAAAACACCACUGAAACCAACACCAGGCAGGUCAGGAAAGGAGGGCAAAGAAACACUGCGAAAGCUGGCCAGAAGGGGAGGAGGCAGGGAACCCCCACCCAACCCCCCACGCGAGCCAAGGCACACCACUCCCAGAACACCCUACCGAUGCCAGCACAGGAACCAUAAGAGUAAGACAUUGUUGUCGAUAGCGGAUUAUGGAAAAUAGAGGAACACCAAAAUUCCACUAUGUGAAAUAGGGGAUAGUGUUGCUGGAAAAUAGUGAAAGUCGCAUAGGGUUGAAAUAAGUCAAUUUUUUAUGAAAAAGGGCAAGCUGCAUACAGAUAAGAAAAAGAAUGGAGGCAAAGCAUAUCUUCUACACUGGAAGGUUUAAUUAUUACUGUUAAUAUAAGAGUAAUGCUCACCUAAUCUUCGGUUUUCUAUAGUAAAAGUAGGCCAUGUUUGGCCCAUAUGCAGAUUCUUCGGUUUUGUUUCUAAAAAAGACCCUAAAAUUCUCUUUUUCCAUUAUUACUGCUACAUCAGCUAGCAAAAACUGGAAUAGCGGGGCGGCUAUUGCGCUAAUAGUGUUGUGGUUUCCAUAGAGGAAUCACCAAAAUCCACUAUGUUACAGAGCUGCUAUUGCGGCGGCUAUUUGAUGACGCUGGAGCAGAAUAUGUUUAGUUUAGAAUUUGGUACCUGG